ACCCUGUACGAGGGAGCAGCGUUAGUGAGCAAGGCAUUCGAAGCGCAAAAUCGAGUCACAUUUUAGGGCUAUUUUUUUUUCCUGUUGCAGCUAGAGGACAUUUCCUUGUGUCCGCUCACGAACGUGGAACCGGUCCACUUCUUCUUCACGCUGUCGCCACUGCGUUAUUAUAACGCGUCUUAUUUUAAACAAUGAACACAGUUUUACUUCCCUCUGAGAGGGCAACACUUCCUGAUUCACUUCAUUUAUGACGCCAGCACAGCAAGAAAAACACUCUGUUCCCACAAAUGACUCCCGUCCUAUCAAAUGUGUAGUAGCGCUGCUGAAGACUCAACAGUAACGUUGCAUUGUGGGUGAUGUAGGUGCAAGGUUUUGGUCCGUAUUCAUAGACUUAGGUUUGUUCACUGCACACAAGCGUCGUAUUCUCGGUUCCUGUUUCCAGUUUGCCUGCUGAAUGUAAUAGCCCCUAUAAUGACGAGCACACACGAGUAGACUAUCUAAUCAAGCUGACCAAUUAGGCUGAGUGACAGCAAUUCACUUGUCUCAUUAUACCCACUAAUGGCUCAGAGAAGCCGAGUCCCUUCCCAAUGCCUUCAUCUGGAUUUCCACCCCUCCAUCACAAAAUGACUCCUCUAUCCAUUUACCUGCCCCCAUAAAUCUGCAGAACAAACAGACAAAGAGAGAGGAAGAGGCGCACGGGGGAGACAAAGGGUGAGGCGGUCGCUCAGGGCACUCAGCUAAAGGAUCUGGUGUUAUUUUACAGACGAAGAUGCCGUGAUGAAAAGCAGUAGGAACGCCGGUGCGGAGAAGAAGCGCUAAUGGCUGAAGGGAUUAGGAGUCUGCGUGCAUGCGGUUCUCUGGAUCUAGAUUUGUAACCAAAACAUGAGAUUUGUCUUGGUGGAAGAAUGUGGUUGCUGAUAUCCUGUGGGAGGACGUGUAUGGCUGAAUGAACAUUCUGUGCAAGGGCACGUACUAGACCUUGACUCUGCACACUAGCACUUAGAGAUUGCUCCAGUUAUUUUUCUUAAAUUACAUCUUUACAUUGUUUCCUUCAACCGUAAUACACUGCUGAAAAGCGUAUGUGUUUAUUAAUACAGACGAGCAGUGAUGGGUUUAACAGCCGAGCAGCUACAAAUACAAGCAUGACAGUGUAAAAUGAGACCCGCAGGACUAAUCUGCUGUGUUGUUGUUGUGGCUGCAGUUCACAACUGGUUUCACUUUCCACCUUAUUUCUAGGACCCAACAAAUCCUGCACUAGGUAAGGACGGACAGGGAAACAGAAGGACCGUCCACCAGAACCGGGCUCAGAGUGGGCGGUCAUCUGCCUCUGCAGGUUGUAAUCAGUGUCUGUUGUACUUCAUCCAAAACAAAUUUACAGCAGCGAGACAACAGAGGACGAUUUAGCAGAGCCACUGUUAAUUAGUCACACGGCAUGAAUGGAACAAGACGCGCAUUGAGCAAUAAGCCGGAACAGUAUGAGCGAUCACAAGCCUAGAGUGAAGGCGAAUUCAAGCCCGGACAAUGAUGCUGUGAACACGCAAGGCACAGUGGGAGACACGCGAGCGUCUGCACCGACAGGAAGAAAGACGGAGCCAAGCGCUUAAACCAGCAGCAACGUUAUAUUACACCGCUAACAGCCUGAACAGAAAGGAUCUGGAAUAUUUUCAGCACUAGAAUACGUUAGCACUUUGUGAAUAGUAAAUAUAUGAUUGAUAAUCAUUUAUGUCUUUUCUUAUCAUGUUGUGUUUCACUGUAUCGUACUGUAAAACAAUUAAAGGCGUUACACCUGA